GAUGAAGAACGUAGCGAAAUGCGAUAAGUAAUGUGAAUUGCAGAAUUCAGUGAAUCAUCGAAUCUUUGAACGCACAUUGCGCCCGCCAGUAUUCUGGCGGGCAUGCCUGUUCGAGCGUCAUUUCAACCCUCAAGACCCCUUCGGGGGACUUGGUGUUGGGGACCGGCACAGGGGCCUGCCUGCUUGUCUUGCAGCGCCCUCGCCGCCCCCGAAAUGAAUUGGCGGCCUCGUCGCGGCCUCCCCUGCGUAGUAGCACAACCUCGCAACGGGAACGUGACGGCGGCCACUGCCGCAAAACAACCCCAAUUUUAUUAGAGUUGACCUCGAAUCAGGUAGGAAUACCCGCUGAACUUAAGCAUAUCAAUAAGCGGAGGA
rnacentral:misc_RNA from 1 species